GAAAAAUUUUCCUAAAUGUCAGUCAAAAUGGAAAUCCGGAUCUUGUCAUUUUCUCAAUCAUUUUUUUGACUAUUGUUUAAAAAAUUUAUUAGUUUACCUUUAUAGUUAUAAGUAUUAAUUAAAUGUAAAAAAAAACCAAAUUUUAUGCCUGUGAUCAAAUAUUUUAUAUUUAUAAUAGUAUGUAUACAUUAAGCUCUACGGCCGUUGUGCUCCUAAUAAUCAUCAGUAAUAUUAAUGGGAAACGUCUUAGCCAUUAUGUGUCGCAUUAUGAACCUGUUACAUAUGAUCAUGAACAUUUGGCCUAUAGUCAUGAUAGGGCUAAAAGAUCAGUAACUAAUAGCGAUAGUAUUGUGCAUGUGACGUUUAAGGCGCAUGGUCAUAAUUUUCAAUUAAGACUUCGUCGAGAUUUGGAAACAUUUUCAAAUACUAUUGAAGUAUUAGAUAGUUUUGGUAAUCAUUUACAUCCUAAUGAUAUUGAUACUUCACACAUUUAUCAUGGACAUAUCAUUGAUGAAGCCGAAAGUGCUGUAUUUGGUUCAAUAAUUAAUGGAGUUUUUGAAGGAAAAAUCAUAUCACCCAAAAAAGGAAAUUAUUUUGUAGAAAAAUCUAAAAAAUACAUCCAUCCUCAUGGUCUUCUUAAAGAUAAUGAGGAUUUUCAUUCUGUUAUAUAUAAAGAAAAUGAUGUAGAUAAUCCAUAUCAUAACUCUUCUAGUCAUUUUAGCGGAUGUGGAGUUGUAGGAUCAACAAAACAAAAUAUGGAAACAAUUCAAUAUUCUAGUAAUCCAUGGAAUGUUCAACAGCCAGAUGAAGAACGACCUGCUUAUAAAUAUACAAGGCAAGCAGCUGACAAGCAACACCAUGGACCAGUUAGAACUAAACGUGCUACUAAACCUAAAGAAGAACGUAAUACUUGUUCUCUGUUUAUUCAGACUGAUCCUUUAUUAUGGAGGCACAUUAAAGAACAAGUUGGUUAUGAUAAAACAAAGACAAGAGAAGAGAUAUUAUCAUUAAUAGCUCAUCAUGUAACAGCAGUGAAUUAUAUUUAUAGAGAUACUAAAUUUGAUGGGCGUAUUGAACACAGGAAUAUUAAAUUUGAAGUUCAAAGAAUUAAAAUUGAUGAUGAUGAGCCUUGUGAUCACAAGUGGUCUGGAGAACAAAAUCCAUUUUGUAUGGAAAAUAUUGAUGUUAGUAAUUUUUUAAAUCUGCAUUCAUUAGGGAACCAUGAGGAUUUUUGUUUGGCAUAUGUGUUCACUUACAGAGAUUUUACUGGAGGAACUUUAGGUUUAGCUUGGGUUGCUAGUGCAUCUGGAGCAUCUGGUGGAAUUUGUGAAAAAUACAAAACUUAUACUGAAACUAUAGGUGGUUUAUAUCAAUCAACUAAACGUAGUUUAAAUACAGGUAUUAUUACAUUUGUUAAUUACAAUAGUAGAGUUCCACCCAAAGUUUCACAGUUGACAUUAGCCCAUGAAAUCGGUCACAAUUUUGGAUCACCGCAUGAUUAUCCUUCAGAUUGUCGACCAGGUGGUUUGAAUGGUAAUUACAUCAUGUUUGCAUCUGCCACAAGUGGUGACCGUCCAAACAACAGUAAAUUUUCUUCAUGCAGCAUAGCUAAUAUCAGUAGUGUAUUGGAUGCCAUACAAGAUAAUAAAAAAAGAAAUUGCUUUAAAGCUAGUGAAGGAGCAUUUUGUGGGAAUAAAAUUGUUGAAGAUGGUGAAGAGUGUGAUUGUGGAUAUGAUAAUGAAGAGUGUGAUGAUAAAUGUUGUUAUCCUAGACAAGUUUCUGAUAAUGAUAGGUUUCGUAAUAUGUCUGCUAGAGGUUGUGCACGUCGAGCAUCAACUGAAUGCAGUCCUUCACAAGGUCCAUGCUGUUAUGCAGAUACCUGUCGUUUUAUUCCAUCUAGUCGUUCGGUUAUGUGCCGUGGAGAAGGUGACUGUAGUUAUAGUUCUUAUUGUGAUGGUACUACACCUGAAUGUCCAGUACCUCCUCCUAAGCCUAAUAAAACCCGUUGUAAUGAAGGAACACAGCUUUGUAUUAAUGGUGAUUGUACUGGUUCCAUUUGUUUGGAGUGGGGACUAAAUGAAUGUUUUUUAACAUCACAAAUUAUACCUAAUAUUGAUAAACGCAAGCUAUGCGAGUUAGCUUGUAUGAAUGGCACUGAUUCACAAACUUGUCGGUCAACUAGUGAAUUUGCUGCUGCUGUUAAUUUACCUCCUGGUGGUAUUAGUCUUAGACCAGGAUCACCUUGUGAUAAUUUUCAGGGUUAUUGUGAUGUGUUUUACAAAUGUAGAGCAGUUGAUGCUGAAGGACCAUUGGCUAGAUUAAAAAAUAUGCUUCUUAACAAACAAACACUUCAGACCCUUCAACAAUGGGCUUUAGAAAAUUGGUGGGCUUGUAUGCUAAUGGGUGUUACAUUUGUUAUUAUAAUGGGUGUGUUCAUAAAAUGUUGUGCAGUACACACGCCGUCUUCAAAUCCAAAAAAGCCUCCUGCGCGAAGAUUUAGUGAAACAUUGAGACGACCAAUUACAACUUUGCGGAGAAUGCGGCAUCAUCCUCAAGCUUAUGUGUCACAACCUAGAUCAAGUAGGGUUCCAGCUCAUGGAUAUGGUGAGGGUAGAGGUCAUUAUUAUGCACCAAGAGCUUCUGCGCCACCUGCUCAUGGUCAUUCCGAUCGCCGAAAUGCAUUCCCAAUGAGGCAUCAGCCACAGCAUAAAGUGUGAUAUUCCAGUACUAACUUGAGAACCAAUAGAUCCUGGUGGACCAACUGUUCCUCGUUCUCCGUCCAACCCCGGCUUACCAGACGAGUGGCCUGUACUUAACCGUCUUAGAACAGGCCAUGGCCGUUGCGCUGAUAUGAUGUUUAAAUGGCGACUCCUAGUCAACACAACAUGCGAUUGCGGCAACGAUAGAUAGACCAUAAAUCACAUUAUUAAGGAAUGUCAACUAAGGAAAUUCAACCAGGGUAUCGAAGGAAUUCAUAAGAUAACACCAGAAGCAUUAAGGUGGAUAAGGGAACUAAACGUCCAACUGUAAACUAUUCAC